UACGAAGGGGGCUAGCGUUGUUCGGAUUUACUGGGCGUAAAGCGCACGUAGGCGGAUUGUUAAGUCAGAGGUGAAAUCCCGGAGCUCAACUCCGGAACUGCCUUUGAUACUGGCAAUCUAGAGUCCGGAAGAGGUAAGUGGAACUCCUAGUGUAGAGGUGGAAUUCGUAGAUAUUAGGAAGAACACCAGUGGCGAAGGCGGCUUACUGGUCCGGUACUGACGCUGAGGUGCGAAAGCGUGGGGAGCGAACAGG
rnacentral:rRNA from 1 species